rnacentral:rRNA from 1 species
CACGUAGGGGCCAAGCGUUGUCCGGAUUUAUUGGGCGUAAAGAGCUCGUAGGCGGCUCGGUAAGUCGGGUGUGAAACCUCCAGGCUCAACCUGGAGACGCCACCUGAUACUGCUGUGGCUAGAGUCCGGUAGGGGAGCGUGGAAUUCCUGGUGUAGCGGUGAAAUGCGCAGAUAUCGGAAGGAACACCAGUGGCGAAAGCGGCUUCCUGGUCCAGCACCGACGUUCAGGCACGAAAGCGUGGGGAGCAAACAGG